rnacentral:ncRNA from 1 species
CCUGCUAUGCGACUAGCAGUAGCCUAGGGAGACAUGCGUCACUGGUAACGGUGGGGUGUGAAGCUCUCCUGACAACGUAGCCCCUGUAAGGGUGCGUCCCUGUCGUGAGAUAGGUUCGCAGAGACUCCGAGCAGCAAUGGGGUCAAGGAG